rnacentral:rRNA from 1 species
UGGGGAAUAUUGCACAAUGGGGGAAACCCUGAUGCAGUGACGCCGCGUGAAGGAAGAAGUAUCUCGGUAUGUAAACUUCUAUCAGCAGGGAAGAAAAUGACGGUACCUGACUAAGAAGCCCCGGCUAACUACGUGCC